rnacentral:sRNA from 1 species
UGACCUUGAUUUUCUUAGUGCCUUCCUCGA